UUCCGUAGGUGAACCUGCGGAAGGAUCAUUACCUAGAGUUUGUAGACUUCGGUCUGCUACCUCUUACCCAUGUCUUUUGAGUACCUUCGUUUCCUCGGCGGGUCCGCCCGCCGAUUGGACAACAUUCAAACCCUUUGCAGUUGCAAUCAGCGUCUGAAAAAACAUAAUAGUUACAACUUUCAACAACGGAUCUCUUGGUUCUGGCAUCGAUGAAGAACGCAGCGAAAUGCGAUAAGUAGUGUGAAUUGCAGAAUUCAGUGAAUCAUCGAAUCUUUGAACGCACAUUGCGCCCCUUGGUAUUCCAUGGGGCAUGCCUGUUCGAGCGUCAUUUGUACCUUCAAGCUCUGCUUGGUGUUGGGUGUUUGUCUCGCCUCUGCGUGUAGACUCGCCUUAAAACAAUUGGCAGCCGGCGUAUUGAUUUCGGAGCGCAGUACAUCUCGCGCUUUGCACUCAUAACGACGACGUCCAAAAGUACAUUUUUACACUCUUGACCUCGGAUCAGGUAGGGAUACCCGCUGAAC
rnacentral:rRNA from 1 species